GCUUGCUUUGACAACAUAUAUGAAAACUGGACCAAUACAGAGAAGAUUAGCAUGCUCCCUAUGCAACGAAAGCUCAGAGCUUCAUGAAGCAUUCAUUUUUUUU